rnacentral:sRNA from 1 species
GGUUGCGAGGUAGUAGACCCGAAACCGAGUAGAUCUAUCCAUGAGCAGGUUGAAAGUGACGUAACAGUUACCGGAGGACCGAACCCACUGUCUUUGAAAAGCCAGGGGAUGACUUGUGGAUAGGGGUGAAAGGCUAAUCAAACUCGGUGAUAGCUGGUUCUCCCCGAAAGCUAUUUAGGUAGCGCCUCGGACGAACACCAUUGGGGGUAGAGCACUGUUUCGGCUAGGGGGUCAUCCCGACUUACCAAACCGAUGCAAACUCCGAAUACCGAUGAGUGAUAUCCGGGAGACAGACGGUGGGGGAUAAGCUUCAUCGUCAAGAGGGAAACAGCCCAGACCACCAGCUAAGGUCCCCAAAUGACUGCUAAGUGAUAAAGGAGGUGGGAGUGCAGUGACAACCAGGAGGUUUGCCUAGAAGCAGCCACCCUUAAAAGAGUGCGUAAUAGCUCACUGGUCUAGCGCUCCUGCGCCGAAAAUGAACGGGGCUAAGCAGUCUACCGAAGCUGUGGAAUAAAUGAUUUUUAAUCAUGUAUUGGUAGGGGAGCGGUCGACGCGGCC